rnacentral:misc_RNA from 1 species
GAUGAAGAACGCAGCGAAAUGCGAUAAGUAAUGUGAAUUGCAGAAUUCAGUGAAUCAUCGAAUCUUUGAACGCACAUUGCGCCCCCUGGUAUUCCGGGGGGCAUGCCUGUCCGAGCGUCAUUACAACCCUCAAGCUCAGCUUGGUGUUGGGCCCCGCCGCCCCGGCGGGCCCUAAAGUCAGUGGCGGUGCCGUCCGGCUCCGAGCGUAGUAAUUCUUCUCGCUCUGGAGGUCCGGUCGUGUGCUCGCCAGCAACCCCCAAUUUUUUUCAGGUUGACCUCGGAUCAGGUAGGGAUACCCGCUGAACUUAAGCAUAUCAAUAAGUGGAGGA